rnacentral:rRNA from 1 species
CGCUGGCGGCGUGCCUAAUACAUGCAAGUCGAACGCACUCUCGUUUAGAUUGAAGGAGCUUGCUCCUGAUUGAUAAACAUUUGAGUGAGUGGCGGACGGGUGAGUAACACGUGGGUAACCUGCCUAAAGUGGGGGAUAACAUUUGGAAACAGAUGCUAAUACCGCAUAAAACCUAACACCGCAUGGUGUAGGGUUGAAAGAUGGUUUCGGCUAUCACUUUAGGAUGGACCCCGCGGUGCAUUAGUUAGUUGGUGAGGUAAAGGCUCACCAAGACCGUGAUGCAUAGCCGACCUGAGAGGGUAAUCGGCCACACUGGGACUGAGACACGGCCCAGACUCCUACGGGAGGCAGCAGUAGGGAAUCUUCCACAAUGGACGAAAGUCUGAUGGAGCAACGCCGCGUGAGUGAAGAAGGUUUUCGGAUCGUAAAACUCUGUUGUUGGAGAAGAAUGUAUCUGAUAGUAACUGAUCAGGUAGUGACGGUAUCCAACCAGAAAGCCACGGCUAACUACGUG